GUAGGUGACCUUGCGGAAGGAUCAUGG
rnacentral:rRNA from 1 species